rnacentral:rRNA from 1 species
UUCCAGACUCCUACGGGAGGCAGCAGUGAGGAAUAUUGGUCAAUGGGCGGGAGCCUGAACCAGCCAAGUCGCGUGAGGGAAGACGGUCCUACGGGUCGUAAACCUCUUUUGCCGGGGAGCAAGGGCGGGGACGUGUCCUGGCCCGGAGAGUACCUGGAGAAAAAGCAUCGGCUAACUCCGUGCCAGCAGCCGCGGUAAUACGGAGGAUGCGAGCGUUAUCCGGAUUUAUUGGGUUUAAAGGGUGCGCAGGCGGAGGUGCAAGUCAGCGGUCAAAUUGCGGGGCUCAACCCCGUACUGCCGUUGAAACUGCAUCCCUUGAGUGCGCGAGAAGUAUGCGGAAUGCGUGGUGUAGCGGUGAAAUGCAUAGAUAUCACGCAGAACUCCGAUUGCGAAGGCAGCAUACCGGCGCGCAACUGACGCUCAUGCACGAAAGCGUGGGUAUCGAACAGGAUUAGAUACCCGUGUA